rnacentral:lncRNA from 1 species
AACAAAAUAAAUAAAAGAGUUCAAAAAUCACAAGACUAUCUAAUCAAAACAUGCAUAGACAACCAAGGUCUCCUACAUUGGUGAAGGAAGGUAAGCAGAGCUAUAAGAAAGAAAUAUUAUAAUGCACCUCGUAAGACUCAAAGGGCUAGCAAUGGAUUAUGUGUGAAAUGGGUGUGAUAAGGUAUGGGGCUAAUUGAAAUGAAGGUCACCCAUCCUUCGACCAUGAUUUCAAUCGUCAUACUUCUUUAAUUGAUCCACAUUGUUCAGUUUUGAAAAUUGGUUCCCAU